ensembl:lncRNA
AGUUAUUAAAGCAGAUCAAAACCAAUACUGGCAAGAGUCUAAAUUAAAUACUAUAAUUAGUAAGAGCAAAAGUAAAAUUUGCACAACUACAUCUGUCCUGAAAUCUGAAAAAAACUUUAUCUGUGGGUCUUAUCUCCCUUAAUUUUCUCUUUCUUUCCAGAGAAGUUUUAAACACUAUUAAUAUAACGUCAAAAAUGCUGAAAGACAGCCACAACUGGUGUAGCAGGAAUCUCAAUAAUAUACAAGUAUGUGUGAUCAUUGAUGUGUGAAGUUCCCAUAAACCUGUGCAAUCUUAACAGUAAGUGGUACCAGUAUGAACUAGCAAAAUUAAGUUCAUUUUACACUGACUAGUAACUAAACUACACGAAAAGCAGAGCAUAGAUCUGAAGAAAUUACAAGUUGGUGCAAUGUCUUUUGGGACUGUGAUAAUUGCAAUGAUUCCUUACCACAAAACCAAAGUUGCAUAUGAGAUUACUGAAGAAGAAAGGGCACAAUAGCAGAAGGAGGAGAAAACAAUGCUGGUAGAGGAAAAUAUGAUUUCCCUCAGAGACAAAACGAAUGCAAGAAGAAGUACGCGAGCAAAUUCAGAAAGCAACAAGUUCACUCAAUUCCAGAGAUUCUCUUCAGAGCAUACUUGAAGACAUCAGUGGGACUACAACAUUGUCAAAGAAUAUAAAAUUAUCUGUCAUGCCAGGCAUCUACAGAAAUGGUCUGCACAAAAUUUGGAGGCACGGUCAUCAUCUUCACUAUGGCUAUUCCUGUGAAAACAGAAACAUGAAUGUCAUCUUACUGAUUUACAGAGUAAUGAUGAAAGGUUUUUCUAUCACUGUAGUAGCAAUUUUUGCUGUUUGGAUUUUUGACCUAUGUUAGUUUACACAACCCUUCCUAUCAUUCAUAUAAGCUCAUUUAGUAUAGAUAUCUAUAGCUAUAGAUAGUAUAGAAUCAUAGAAUCAUUAAGGUUGGAAAAGACUUCUAAGUUCAUCUAGUCAAACCAUAAGCCCAUCACCACCAAGCCUACUAAAUCAUGUCCCUCAGUGACACAUCUACCCUUUCCUUGAAAACCUGCAUGGACGUUGAUCCCAUCACCUUCCUGGGUAGCCUGUUCCAAUGCCUUACCGUCCUUUCUGAGAAUAAAUUUUUCCUAAUUUCCAACCUUAAACUCUGCUAGUGCAACUCAUGGCCUUAACCUUUUUAUACACUGAAGAAUUUUUUUAUUCAGAUGAAACGAUUCAUUCCAUGCUACCUUUCUAAAAAGCUUUGCAUUGUCCUGAUUCUUGACUUGUAAGAGAAUCUUCACUAUAUAUAAGACGGUCAGAUCUUCAAGCCUUGCUUUGUGUAGCUUAUUCCAGUUUUUCUGCAGAUAUCUGAACUGUUUUGAUUCUGAUUCUGUCCUUAGUUAACUCAUCUUUCUCCAAGCGUGCUUCUAAUUUUGUCCACACUUUUGUGUCUGAGAACACUCUCAGUGAACUCUGUGCUAGUCCAGUCUUUUAAGUUUCAUAGUGCUUUUAUGAAAGGCUUAUGAGUAAGCAAAUUUUAUAGAUUUUCCUGCAAAAUCAGUGUGAGGUUACUCUGUGAAGCUGCGUGUAGGAACUUCAUGAAUCUCUCAAAUAAAAUGUUUUUGCGAAUUCUUUGCCACAUAUUUUCCUGGGGACUGGCUUUGUUUUGUUAAUAAUUCAUCACCUCUAUUUUAUACAUGUAUAGCUUUUCUGCAGUUCUUUUCAAAGUUUCAAAAGCUUAAUCAGUUAUUUGUACUAGUAAAACUUUUUUCUGGUUCUCAUAUGCUGUAUUAUUUACUCUAAGCAGACCAAAAGGAGGAUACAGAUCAGUAUCCUGUUUACCUGUUUGAUCUUAUUUUCUUCGUUGUUUUUUUUUUAAAUUCUAACUUACUAAAGAUUUACCUAUUUAACAAUGUUAAUAAAAUAUUAAAGUUUUUAAA